CUCUCUCUUCCCAGCCCCCUCUCUCUUUUUCUCCGUCACUUUCUCUCCUCUCCGUCCAAGUUCCGGGAGAUCUGAAUUGCAGAGUCGAUCUCUCUCGGCCGCCGCCGAGACGGAGCUUGCUCGGACUAGCGGCGCUCUCUCUCCAUGCCUCUGCGAUGGUCCACCGGAUCUGCGACGAACCCGCGACAUUCUCUCUCUUUUCACGGCAACGAGACGAAUUUGCACCGGGUCCGACAAGAUCUCCGCCGAUGACUCGAUCUCAGUAACAUCCGGUGGCUCGGAUCGCUGCGGAGAAGAUCUAGAGAUCGUCGCCAAGAUCUCCACAAUCGUCAACAAUCUUCUCCAAGCCGCAACCUGGAGCUACUGUGAAGUUUAAAGAUAUUAGUGCUGCAUAUGAGGUGCUAUCAGACGAUAAAAAGCGAGCUUUGUAUGAUCAAUAUGGUGAAGCUGGAGUUAAGAACAGAGUAGGAGGAGGCUCAAGUGCCUAUACGGUAUUGCAUGUUCUUGUUGGAUUGGGGAAUUUUAGUUGCUUUCUCUCUGACAUACAUUUUUAGCAUAUCUUCAUACCAGAAAUUGUGUGCCUGAAUUAUAUAGGAAUUAGAAUGAGAUGCAGUAUUUUUCCUUUUU